CGAGGCAAAACUUAUUCAUCACCAACUAACAAUGAUGCAGCAGAAGACUUCAAACUUUUCAUACAAAAAUCAAGAAAAGGAAAAACACAUACUUAGACAUUAAGACAAGAACCAGAAUCAAAAUCCUCUCUGUAAUAUACAGUAUACAACACUUUCCCUCACGUCUCUGUCAUUCCAAUAAAAAUCAGUCAAUCCUCUCUAUCACACACGUGAAACUUCCAGCUACUUCCCCAACUUUCCUUUUGAAAAGACCAAAAGCAAUUUUACAUUGAGUUCAGUUGCAUUAAUUGGUUUGAUGCCAUUAAUUUUAUUGAGUCGCCUUUGUUUCCUUGCAAAAAAGUUAAGUAUCAUUUGAGCUCACAUAACGGUAACUAAUGUCAGUAGCUUGUGGAGCUGAGUGUGUGUUGAUUUUAGGUUGUCUCCGUUGGGCAUGGAAACGCUGCACGUACACCGGCAAUGACGACAGUGAUACGUGGCCAACAGCUACCUACGAGGAAUUCGAACCAGUUCCACGUAUCUGCCGUACAAUUCUAGCAGUAAACGAACCAAACCUCCGUAGCCCCAAGUACCCGCCGGAGGGUGGGUACAGGCUAAACCCCGAUUGGGUCAUUAAACGGGCCACAUAUGAACAAACAUCUGGCAAUGCACCUCCGUAUUUGAUCUACUGUGAUCACGAGCACCAAGAGAUUGUAGUCGCUAUUCGUGGGUUGAAUUUACUGAACGAAAGUGAUUACAAAGUUUUGUUGGAUAAUAGGUUGGGGAAACAGAUGUUUGAUGGAGGGUAUGUACAUCAUGGGUUGUUGAAAUCUGCGGUUUGGGUUUUGAAUAAUGAGUCUGAUACUUUGAAGAAGCUUUGGAUUGAGAAUAGGAAGAGUUACAAGAUGAUAUUUGCAGGGCAUUCUUUGGGUUCUGGUGUGGCGUCGUUGCUGACAAUAAUUGUGGCGAAUCAUAAGGAUAGAUUAGGGGGAAUCCCGAGGAGUCUUUUAAGGUGUUAUGCAGUUGCACCAGCGCGGUGCAUGUCACUCAACUUGGCUGUUAAGUAUGCUGAUAUAAUACACUCUGUGGUAUUGCAGGAUGAUUUCUUGCCAAGAACAGCCACCCCACUUGAAGAUAUAUUUAAAUCCAUCUUCUGUUUACCGUGCUUGAUAUUUUUGGUAUGCUUGAGAGAUACCUUCAUUCCUGAGGGCAGAAAACUCCGAGAUCCAAGAAGACUUUAUGCACCAGGCCGUAUGUAUCACAUUGUAGAAAGAAGAUUCUGCAGGUAAAGCACAUUCAGAUGAGUGUUACUAGUGUGCUAUGUACUGUCAAAGUAAUGCAAACUAGUGAAUAUGAUAUAACCUAGCCUCUGUCGGUGUGACUUUCACAGAACCGCCGACCAUUGCUUGUGGUCAUUGCGUGCUUCGUUUGAUUUGUGUUAUCUUCCCUCAGUUCUGUGCAUGACGAGAUCUCAUUCCUUUCUAAUAUUCUGAUGUCUUGAUUUCCUUGUUUAUGUUUCACAACCCGGCUUAUAAGUCUAUCGAAUUGGUGUUGGGGUCUGAUGCUUGCCACUAUCAACUAGUAUGAGUCAUCCGAAACAUUGUGCUCUUAAGUGGUGUUCGUUCAACUAUCGAUCUUGACAAUAUUCUUUGUCCUCAUCUUGUUAAAUCCACUGAUUAGGAUAUACUAACCCUGACAAAUAGAGGCAUUGUGUUCCGUUAGUUCCCUGAAUUAUUGAAGAUAGUAUAGAACAGUUUCAUAUGAAAUGCAUCGGCAUCUUUAUCUCCUAUUAAAUAGACGAGUGCAGAAUAAAGUUGAACUAAUCUCAGUCCUCAGAUAUUGGUGAAUUAUUCUCACUAGUUGGACAAGAAGCAUUUUAGCCUUAUUGCUUUUGUUUCCCUAGUUUGAGUUAAUCUUAAAAAAUCGUUAUCCUCUUCUGUUGUUUUCCCUAAAUUGCACCAUGAGUUGGUUUAGAGUGGGAGAGAUAAGAACCUUUAGUAGUACGAAUAGAUUCUUGGUUCAUUUCUUUCUCUCAUGUCCAGGAUUUUCAGACUAGCUACCUAACGAAUUUCAUUAUCCGUAUGUUUCCUAUUUGUGUUUUCUGAUGCUACGAUGUAUUUAUUCUCUUCAUGUAACUGUCGGCGCUCGCUUAGGCAUUUACGAUUAUUGUACAGACGAUGCUACAGCACAAUAUUUUCAGAUGAGACCAUGGGGUUUUCCACCAUUUUGGCUCUCAACUUUGCCAUUUUAGGAAAAAAAACGUUUUUUCCAAGGGUCUUCCGGAAACAGCCUCUCUGUCUUCUUGAAGAUGUGGGAGGUACCCUCCAGAUGUUAGAACUGCCAUCCCAGUUGACGGAAGAUUUGAGCAUAUCGUGUUGUCAC